AGAGUUGUUCUGGACUUGCUUUGCACGCGGGCUCCCCGCACGCCUGUGUGGCCAACCGUCGUGGAGCUUGUCUCUUCAGCGUCCCGCUUGAUGCGUUCUUUAGCUAUGUCUGGACGAUCGUUUGUUCGUGCCUGUGUUGUUACCCCAUCGGAACGGAGAUCGUCUUGUGACGGCAUAUAUCAUGUUGCCUUUGAUUUUGGUUUCGGUGAAGCACGCGGGCAUUUGAGACGUCGGCUUUCUGAUCGAGGCUGAGCGAUCGAUGGGUCUUUGACUCGUCCGCGGCUCGCCUUGUAAUAUAGCUGCCUCUUGCGGACGCUGUCGCUAUGCGGGUUUUGCGGUCCUCUCGGUCCGCACGUACCCUUGUAGUUCCCUCGCGGCAGGUCAUCGCGCUAGUGCUAUCUCCAUUUCGCUCUUAGCCGAGUAGGUCGGAGCGAGUCGGGGAUAUGCGGAUGCGGGUUUGCGGGCGGUGCUGGUACGUUGCGGAGUUCUAUGAUUUAUGAGUGAUUGCCGGUGCGUGCGCGUGGAACGGUCUCCCGUCUGGGCGUGCCUCGGCGGCACGCAGGCUCACUUUUAUGACGUGCUACCUGGUUGAUCCUGCCAGUAGUCU
rnacentral:misc_RNA from 1 species